CCUACGGGAGGCAGCAGUGAGGAAUAUUGGUCAAUGGACGAGAGACUGAACCAGCCAAGUCGCGUGAAGGAUGACUGUCCUAUGUGUUGUAAACUUCUUUUAUAUGGGAAUAAAACAGGGUAUGCAUACCCUCUUGUAUGUACCAUAUGAAUAAGGAUCGGCUAACUCCGUGCCAGCAGCCGCGGUAAUACGGAGGAUCCGAGCGUUAUCCGGAUUUAUUGGGUUUAAAGGGAGCGUAGGUGGUUUGUUAAGUCAGUUGUGAAAGUUGGGGGCUCAACCGUGCACUUGCAGUUGAAACUGGCAGUCUUGAGUAGAAUAGAGGUGGGCGGAAUUCGCGGUGUAGCGGUGAAAUGCAUAGAUAUCGCGAAGAACUCCGAUUGCGAAGGCAGCUCACUGGACUGCAACUGACACUGAGGCUCGAAAGUGUGGGUAUCAAACAGGAUUAGAUACCCGUGUAGUC
rnacentral:rRNA from 1 species